GAGAGGUGGCUGAGUGGCCGAAAGCAGCACACUGCUAAUGUGUUGACUUCGCAAGAGGUCCGUGGGUUCGAAUCCCACCCUCUCC
rnacentral:tRNA from 1 species